UACGUAGGGACCAAGCGUUGUUCGGAUUUACUGGGCGUAAAGGGCGCGUAGGCGGCGCGGUAAGUCACUUGUGAAAUCUCUGAGCUUAACUCAGAACGGCCAAGUGAUACUGCAGUGCUAGAGUGUGGAAGGGGCAAUCGGAAUUCUUGGUGUAGCGGUGAAAUGCGUAGAUAUCGGGAGGAACACCAAUGGCGAAGGCAGCUCGCUGGGACGGUACUGACGCUGAGACGCGAAAGCGUGGGGAGCAAACAGG
rnacentral:rRNA from 1 species